AUGACGUUCCAGGAAUUAAAGCGAGAAGCCGAGAAUAGGGACAACUGGAGAGCUCUUUUUGGGCAGAGCAAUGGACCUGUCGUAAGACAGAACACUUAAUAAAAAAUAUAAUAUUUGAGAUCAACAUCAGUACACUUGUAUUUAUGUAAUGGUGACUCCGACAGGGUUUUGUAUGCUUUGAGGGUCUCCGUGUGUAUUCUUUAUGUUUAAUUGUGCAGCAGAACGUUAUACCCCUUAGUAUGGAGGGAUGCUGUGUUCAAAUAUUGCUUUAUAUUAUUAGAGGAUCUAGUAUAACGUAACUGAUUUAUGAGUCUUGAACCAUACCUUUUUCUUACUUAUCACUAUGAUUCACCAUGAUCCAUUCAGAAACUAGUCAUCGCUCUUAUUGAAGGGGUGGGUUAAGUGCUAGUGUUGCAGGUGGAUGGUAUGGUGUCCCAGAAUCCGUGGCAAGAGCAAGGCUUCUGAAAUACUUGACAGAUGGUUAGAUCUUUCAAGAAGGGGCUGUAAUACCGCAGUAUAAGCACAAGUUAAAUAAUGUAAUGGUUCCAUCUGUAACAGAGCUUUGUCCUGAUUGGUUAUCCAGUUCCAACAAGAUGACUCCUCCAUUCAUGAUUCUCGUGGUGCGGCCAGCUGACGUAAACUCAUUGACAGGCCACCAUGAGAGCCUGAUAUGAACACCAUUGGGAAUAUAUGGAGUGAGAGACUGGUUGAUUGAUUGAUACGAGAUUCAUUCCUACAUCCAUCUGAUAGUAAAAUGAAGAUAUUAGGAAUAAACUGUUAUGAAUGGCAACUACAGUCACCUCUCUCUACGUUAACUGAAAUGAACCCUUCAAAUUCAGCUGUACGUGUUCAGCAAGAAUGACCAGGUCGAAGGAGGCAGGUGUCUCAGCAUUUGGUUGUGAAUGGUUUCAGGCCUGGGGUAUGUAUCAUGUGUUUAUUUAAGUUCUGCCAUACAAAAUAAUCACUUAUAAGGCCCUGUGGCUUAAGCUGUAAAACCGAGUUGGCGACUUUCUUUGCGUGCUCCAAGUUGUUCGAAAACCGGAACUGAAAAAUAAUGUGACGUGACCACUCAUCCCGUUAUUAUGACACCAUUCGCCAUAAGGGCUAGGAUAAAUGUGAAAUACAUUUGCUUGAUAUUCAUUGUAGAUGUUCCUGUACGGCAGUUGAUGUUUAGACUGCCAGACAGUCCUCUGCAUUUUGGCACUUAAGGGCAGUUAAAUUUGCCUUAGUGGGGUACCAUCUCUAUCCACCAUGGAACAGGCAUACAACAUGGCUUGGUGGACAAUUGGAAAAUAGAUUUUUGAGAUGCCCUCAGGACAAUACAGGCAAAUUUAUGCACCAUAAAAUCU